rnacentral:rRNA from 1 species
GACGAACGCUGGCGGCGUGCUUAACACAUGCAAGUCGAACGGAAAGGCCCUUCGGGGUACUCGAGUGGCGAACGGGUGAGUAACAUGUGGGUGAUCUGCCCUGCACUUUGGGAUAAGCCUGGGAAACUGGGUCUAAUACCGGAUAGGACCACGGCAUUCAUGUGCUGUGGUGGAAAGCUUUUGCGGUGUGGGAUGGGCCCGCGGCCUAUCAGCUUGUUGGUGGGGUAAUGGCCUACCAAGGCGACGACGGGUAGCCGGCCUGAGAGGGUGACCGGCCACACUGGGACUGAGAUACGGCCCAGACUCCUACGGGAGGCAGCAGUGGGGAAUAUUGCACAAUGGGCGCAAGCCUGAUGCAGCGACGCCGCGUGAGGGAUGACGGCCUUCGGGUUGUAAACCUCUUUCGCCAGGGACGAAGCGCAAGUGACGGUACCUGGAGAAGAAGGACCGGCCAACUACGUG